UCGAGAAUCUUCCACAAUGGACGAAAGUCUGAUGGAGCGACGCCGCGUGAUUGAUGAAGCUUUUCGGAGUGUAAAGAUCUUUUAUGAGGGAAGAAGUUUAUUGACGGUACCUCAUGAAUAAGGGGCUCCUAAUCUCGUGCCAGCAGGAGCGGUAAUACGAGAGCCCCAAGCGUUAUCCGGAAUUAUUGGGCGUAAAGGGUGCGUAGGUGGUCGCGUUAGUCGUUUGUCAAAUCUUCGGGCUCAACCCGAAAUCCGCAGGCGAAACGGCGCGACUAGAGAGUGUGAGGGGUUUGCGGAACUCAUGGUGUAGGGGUGAAAUCCGUUGAUAUCAUGGGGAACACCAAAAGCGAAGGCAGCAAACUGGCGCACAUCUGACACUCAAGCACGAAAGCGUGGGUAGCGAAUGGGAUUAGAUACCCCCGUAGUCC
rnacentral:rRNA from 1 species